rnacentral:ncRNA from 1 species
UCCCAAAAACAUAAAGUUUUGGUCCUAAACUUGCCGUUGUUUUUUAUCAAAAUUAUACAUGCAAGCCUCCACAAACCAGUGAGAAUGCCCACGCACCCCUAAAUAGCCAACCGGAGCAGGCAUCAGGAUACAACACCAGUUUUAGCCAAAGACGCCUUGCAUAUGCCACACCCCCACGGGCUUUCAGCAGUAAUUAACAUUAAAACAUGAGCGAAAGCUCGACUUAGUUAUGAUCAACAUGGUCGGUAAAUUUCGUGCCAGCCACCGCGGUUAUACGAAAGACCAAAAACAACGACCAGACGGCGUAAAGCGUGACUAAAGAAAACGAACCGUUAAAGGAGCACAGCUGCCAAGCCGUAAAACCCCAAUGCAGACUAGAACCACAACAAACUGCCUUUAACCCCCCCCCACCUCACGAAAGCUAAGAAACAAACUGGGAUUAGAUACCCCACUAUGCUCAGCCCUAAACACAAAUAGCACCAAUACAAUGCUAUCCGCCAGAAAACUACAAGCGAAAAGCUUAAAACUCCAAGGACUUGGCGGUGCUUCAAAUCAACCUAGAGGAGCCUGUCCUAUAAUCGAUACCCCACGUUCUACCUUACCACUUCUAGCCAACCAGCCUAUAUACCGCCGUCGUCAGCUUACCUUGUGAAAGAAGAAAAGUGAGCAAAAAAGUUAAUAACUAAUACGUCAGGUCAAGGUGUAGCACACGAAGUGGUAGAGAUGGGCUACAUUUUUUCAAAGUAAAAACACGAAUAGUGAGCUGAAACGCCCACUUAAAGGCGGAUUUAGUAGUAAAAUAAACAAGAAUAAUCAUCUUAAACCUGCUCUGAAGCGCGCACACACCGCCCGUCACCCCCAUCG